rnacentral:rRNA from 1 species
AUGCGGGAUGAAGCAGUACCGUAAGGAGCUGUGGACUGCAUGGAAGAGAGAAUGCCGGAAUGAGUAGCGAGAUAGAGGUGAGAAUCCUCUAGGCCGAAUAUCCAAGGUUUCCAGGGUAAAGCUGAUCUGCCCUGGGUAAGUCGGGGCCUAAGGUAAGGACGAGAGUCGUAGCCGAUGGACAACAGGUGGAGAUUCCUGUACUAUGAUAUGACAGAACUGUGGGGACACGUGCAGAGAGCGGAAGCCGGGAAUGGGAUCCCGGUGCAAGCGAGGUACCAGCCGCAUUGGAAAAACCGUGCGGCAAUGGGAAGACGUGAUGCGGAGUGAAGUUUAGUAAUGAAGUCCGUGAGCUGUGCGUCAAGAAAAGCCGCUAUUGUUCAUACCAUACCCGUACCGUAAACCGACACAGGUGGAUGAGGAGAGAAUCCUAAGGCCGGCGGAAGAAGCAUUGUCAAGGAACUCGGCAAAAUGACCCCGUAACUUCGGGAGAAGGGGUGCCUGCGAGAGCAGGCCGCAGAGAAUAGGCUCAAGCAACUGUUUAGCAAAAACACAGGUCUAUGCGAAACCGAAAGGUGAGGUAUAUGGGCUGACGCCUGCCCGGUGCUGGAAGGUUAAGAGGAGAGGUUAGCGGUAACGCGAAGCUUUGAAUUUAAGCCCCAGUAAACGGCGGCCGUAACAAUAACGGUCCUAAGGUAGCGAAAUUCCUUGUCGGGUAAGUUCCGACCCGCACGAAAGGCGUAAUGAUUUGAGCGCUGUCUCGACAAUGCAUCCGGUGAAAUUGAAGUACCAGUGAAGAUGCUGGUUACCUGCGCCAGGACGGAAAGACCCCAUGGAGCUUUACUCCAGUUUGGUACUGGGAUCCGGUACUGCAUGUACAGGAUAGGUGGGAGGCUAUGAAUCGGUAACGCCAGUUGCCGAGGAGCCGCUGUUGGGAUACCACCCUUGCAGUAUUGGGUUUCUAACCAGCCGCCGUGACCCGGCGGUGGGACAAUGCCAGACGGGGAGUUUGACUGGGGCGGUCGCCUCCGAAAGGGUAUCGGAGGCGCCCAAAGGUUCCCUCAGGAUGGACGGAAACCAUCCAAAGAGUGCAAAGGCAGAAGGGAGCUUGACUGCGACACCGACGGGUGGAGCAGGUACGAAAGUAGGGCUUAGUGAUCCGGUGGUAUUAAGUGGGAGUGCCAUCGCUCAACGGAUAAAAGCUACCCUGGGAUAACAGGCUUAUCACUCCCAAGAGUUCACAUCGACGGAGUGGUUUGGCACCUCGAUGUCGGCUCAUCGCAUCCUGGGGCUGUAGUAGGUCCCAAGGGUUGGGCUGUUCGCCCAUUAAAGCGGUACGCGAGCUGGGUUCAGAACGUCGUGAGACAGUUCGGUCCCUAUCCGGCGUGGGCGUAGGAUAUCUGAGAGGAGCUGUCCUUAGUACGAGAGGACCGGGAUGGACGGUCCGCUGGUGCACCGGUUAGACUGCCAAGUCUAUAGCCGGGUAGCCAAGCCCGGAAGGGAUAAACGCUGAAGGCAUCUAAGCGUGAAGCCCCCCUCAAGAUGAGAUAUCCCAUCCGAAAGGAGUAAACCCCCUUGAAGACGACGAGGUCGUUAGGGCAGAGGUGGAAGUGUGGUAACACAUGGAGCUGACUGCUACUAAUAGGGUUAGGGCUUGACU